rnacentral:rRNA from 1 species
AAUGAACGCUGGCGGCGUGCUUAACACAUGCAAGUCGAGCGAGGCCUGGGGGGCAACUCCCAGAGUCGAGCGGCGGACGGGUGAGUAACACGUGGGUAACCUGCCCGGAAGUGGGGAAUACCUCGGGGAAACUCGAGCUAAUACCGCAUGACAUCUUUGGGACGAAAGUCCUGACGAUCAAAGCGGGGUCGCAAGAUCUCGCGCUACCGGAUGGGCCCGCGCCCGAUUAGCUAGUUGGGAGGUAACGGCUCACCAAGGCUUCGAUCGGUAACCGGCCUGAGAGGGCGAUCGGUCACACCGGAACUGAGACACGGUCCGGACUCCUACGGGAGGCAGCAGUGGGGAAUCUUGCGCAAUGGGCGAAAGCCUGACGCAGCAACGCCGCGUGGAGGAUGAA